rnacentral:lncRNA from 1 species
CCUUUCUCCAUCAUCUCCCCCACCCGGAGUUGAGGCUGAGCUUCUCAGUUGCUAGGCAACAGGGGUCACAGUUUUCAGGUCUUCAACCUAGUCAAAAAGAAGACAUGAUCUUCAGAGAAAAGGCGGAUACUCGGCAGCAGUGAGAAUUUCAAUACAUACGGAGGUUUCUGAUUUUUUUUUAUCAUGCUAAAGGCUGAAAUGGAGAAAUUUUGACUUGUCAAAAGAUUGUGGGAACAGGUUUUUAAGUUCUGGUGAUUAGAAUCUAUCACUGAAACAAUAUGAAGAAAAUACAGUCAAGCCUCUUUUUGAUGAACGCACUGACAUGUGGCUUAGGAUUUUAGCUGCCAGGAGAAUGAUGAUCAAGACACGUCAAAAACAGAUCUUGGGAGAUGAAUUUGGGGGCUGAUUUGGAGAUGAGGGUUUUUUGGUUUGGGUUUUUUGGUUUGGUUUUAACAUUCCUUCUCAGACAUUACUGCAUUCUGGCAUGUUUAAGAGCAGUGCUGCAGGCAACACAGCCGCUCCUGAAGGUCAGCUGCAAGAAAGCUCAUUCCCCACCCCUUUUCCUAGCACCAAGUCAGCACUCCCUUUAAACUUUAAUAAAGGGCAGGAGAAAGAACCUAUUCCUCAACCGGAGAGGAACACGGCACCACUAUGUAAUUGCAUUUGACAGUACAUUCUGUAGAAUCGUUCUUGGACACUGCUCUCACUGAGCUUACCGUCAGGACUUGAUUUCCAUGGAGAAGUUUGAUUCCCUCCAAUACGCUGGCUGCCAGCCCUCCUCACUAAGAAAGUGCCCAUCCUACUGGAUCACAGCUGCCCGGUCACUAUUCAGCACAUACAGGCACUAAGCAAAGCACAGAACUGGACACUGCAGAGGAAACAAGAACAAAAGUUCCUGCAGCCGCUCAAAAUCCAACAAGGAGAAGACUUUCAUGGGAUGAAAAAAUAACUGUGAUACCAGUACUAAACAUUCGAAAAUAGGGAGAAAAAAAAAAAGUAGAAAUUGAGCUACAGCUUCAGCGCUGAUGCCUGCGCAGUCACAAGACGCUCUGCACAGACGGGGUAUCAAGCCAGAGCCCACGUCCAGCAAUUGGCCACACUGAGGUCAGAAUGAAAUCAUUCUGGAAAAACUGGAAAUGCUCUCCUAGGCCACACUAUUUUGAAAUGAUCCUCAGAAGCGUGAUAAGUAUCAGAGGCGGCAAGCUGUAGCCGCCUGAGUUAAACCUAGCUGCGUUCCCUCAUCUGUGUGUUAGGGCCUUAAGAUUUACAGAAAAUCUCAAACCACUGAUUUGACAGUGCAACCUUUAAAACACGGCCAAGCCUUCCAGGGCUUCUGGCUUCUCCAUAUCACCUUUAUGUGCAUGAAGGUACUUUCCUUUUUGCCUAUUUCCCUACAUAUGCUCUCAAUGCUAUUAAGAUAUCAAAUGCAGGAAUGACAACAAGAGAGUCCUAAUUAAACAGCAGCAGCGUGUGCCCUCGAAGGAACAGCCUGAACCCAAAUAAGUGGAGCUUGGGACCGGAAAGGGGGAAAAAGACAAUGGGGGCUUUGAAAUCAGCUGGGUUUAACGCAACGGGUCUGUUGUGUGUAUUUAAAAGGCCAGAUGACACGAAGGGCUCUCCGUGCUGUUAGGACAGAGACCAAGCUCUGGAUUCACCAAGACAGAUGGGUAAUAGUCACUGAGUCCUGUGACCAGAAUCCAAUUGUAAUUGGCCUCAGAGAUCACUUAUGGCAAUCAGGGAAGUAAUAGGCUUCUGAAUAAUUAUGAAUAAUUAGGCACAUUUAUGAAUAAUUACACCGAUAAUAACUAUCUAAUUCACUCCAUUUUAAAAUAGUAAUUCAGUCAUUAUGGAUUGGGUGCUCACUCCCUUCAUCCUGCCUCUGCAUAUUCAUGGCCUAAUCCAUCCUCCAAUCUUACAAUGACUGGAGUCCCUCUCCAGGUCAGCACUGGACUCACCUUGGGGACAAAGGACCAUCCUGGUCCUCGGGGUUGGAGUUUCCUAUCCCUUUGAUUAAUUUGAGAGGACUCUGGGCAGUAGAGAGAUCAGAAAGGAUAUAAGAAAAUAUUUUCCUAAAACAUCGAAGCUUUGCCAUCUUGUGACUCAUUUAUCAAUAUGCAAAUGACUUCAAAGUAAUGUCCACGAGCUCUUUGCUCUUUUCAAUACUGAUGAUAAAAAGAAGCAGCUGCUUGCACAUGUCAUUGUAGAGAAUACCAGUGCAUUAGACAAGGGCAGUCUUUUUAUAGCAUUUCUGAUCGAGUACUAGUCUGCUUAGAAAAUCAGGAGUCCUGGCUGAGUGCGGUGGCUCACACCUGUAAUCCCAGCACUUUGGGAGGCCAAGAUGGGCAGAUUGCCUGAGCCCAGGAGUUUGAGACAAACCUGGGCAACAAAGGGAGACCUUGUCUCUACAAAAAAUAAUAAAUAACAAAAAUUAGCCAGGCGUGGUGGCGUGCACCUGCAGACCCAGCUAGCUACUUGGGAUGCUGAGGUGGGAGAGUCACUGGAGCCCAGGAGGUUGAGGCUGAAGUGAGUCAAGAUCGCACCACUACACACUCCAGCCUGGGCAACAGAGCAAGACUCUGUCAAAAAAAGAAAGGAAGAAAGGAAGGAAUGAAGGAAGGAAGGAAGUCAGAAGCCCCGAUUUGAAGAUGGAAUCUUAAAAUGAUGUGUCCUCAGGCUUCAGACAUAAUAUGUCCUCGCCCUGUGGCCAUAUUCUUUCCUCCCCCAUAUUCUCUCCUUUUCUUUUAUUUCUGUUCCUCCCCCUUUUCUUUCCCUCCCCCCUCCACCAUCGUUUGCCUACUUCUCUAUCACUUUCAUAUCUCUUCCUGUUAUAUUCCAACAACGACAAUCAAAAGUUAGCUUAUAUUUUUCUGAUUCCAAACAUACUGUCUGUGAACUCAAAAAAAUUUAAAAACAUCGGGAUGAGAAAUUUUUUUAAAAAGUUAAAAAUCAAUAAUCUCAGCACCAGAGAGAAGCAAUAUUAACUUAAUACAGUAUUUUAAGGUGUUUUCUAAACAUACUUUACACAACUGAGAUUGCAAAAACAAUUUUGCAUCUUGACAUUUCCCUGAACCUUAUAGAAUCAGCAUUUUCCUUAUUGUUAAAAACUCAUGUUUGAUGGUAAAAUCAUAAAAUAUGAAAGUAUACAUGAUCAUUAAUUCCCUAAACUUUGGCAACUCAAUAUUUCCCAUUUGUGCUAUUUUGCCAUGCUCUUUUGUGGGGCAGUCUUCUUUUGUUCUUAUAUCUCGCCACAUUCUUUCCUGUUCCUUUCUCUUCCUCUUAAAUUAAGACUUGGGUAUAAGGAGGUAUGCUGCCCCUGAAUUAAGACAGGGGAAUAACGUGACUGGUUUAGUGCACAGGAAGGCUUACCACACACAAUCUUUUCAGGUACAAGCAACAUUAAUAUCCCGCAGUUUAACUAUCAACAAAAUCUUUUAUGCAGAAUUAACCAUAACAGAAUUCCAUCUUGGACCCAACCCAAGGGGGCUCAGUAACUGAAAUACAUUAUGAUGCAUCCUUUCCUGAGGCUUGAUUACAGGAAAAUUGAGACAUAAAUGGCAUCCUAUUGAGCUUCUGGAAUACUAGUUUCCAAAUAAUUAUCAAUGGAUCCCAUACAUGAGAAUUGCCCAGGGAGCUUUUUAAAAAUGUGUCUUCCCGGACUGCACCAAGUGAUAUUUUGAUUUAAGAGAUCAGGAGGGAGGAUCAGGCUGGGCAGGAAAGAAGGCAGCAGAUAUGCAGUCUCAUGUCUGCCAUGCCAAGAAUCCUGCAUGUAAUUUACCGAGGAGCAAUAUGGUCUGAUGAGUGGCAUGGUCAGACAGACAAAGGAGAAUGAAGACUCCCAUGCAAGUGACUGGCAGACACUGGCUGAUCAUGAGAAAGGACACCAUGUGGUAUGAAGACAGGGCUGGAAGUAUGUGGAUCAGUUAAGAAAUUGUGGUAACCCAGAAAUCUAGUUUACAAAUGAUGAGAACAUGAAAUGAGGCAGUACCGUAGGGGAGUGGAGAAGCACAUUGAUAUGAAAGCUGUAUAUGGUAGAGUUAAUAAACUCAUGUGAAUGUUGGAUGUGAGAACUAAAAGUCAAAAUCAGGAUGACCCCCAGUUACCUGACUAGAAUGAAAUCCAG